GCCCCGCAAGGGGAGCGGCAGACGGGUGAGUAACGCGUGGGAAUCUACCUUUUGCUACGGAAUAACGCAGGGAAACUUGUGCUAAUACCGUAUGUGUCCUUCGGGAGAAAGAUUUAUCGGCAAGAGAUGAGCCCGCGUUGGAUUAGCUAGUUGGUGGGGUAAAGGCCUACCAAGGCGACGAUCCAUAGCUGGUCUGAGAGGAUGAUCAGCCACAUUGGGACUGAGACACGGCCCAAACUCC
rnacentral:rRNA from 1 species